rnacentral:rRNA from 1 species
GUAGGUGGCAAGCGUUAUCCGGGAAUUAUUGGGGCGUAAAGCGCGCGCAGGCGGUUUCUUAAGUCUGAUGUGAAAGCCCACGGGCUCAACCGUGGAGGGUCAUUGGAAACUGGGGAACUUGAGUGCAGAAGAGAAAAGCGGAAUUCCACGUGUAGCGGUGAAAUGCGUAGAGAUGUGGAGGAACACCAGUGGCGAAGGCGGCUUUUUGGUCUGUAACUGACGCUGAGGCGCGAAAGCGUGGGGAGCAAACAGGAUUAGAUACCCUGGUAGUCCACGCCGUAAACGAUGAGUGCUAAGUGUUAGAGGGUUUCCGCCCUUUAGUGCUGCAGCUAACGCAUUAAGCACUCCGCCUGGGGAGUACGGUCGCAAAGACUGA